rnacentral:rRNA from 1 species
UAGGGAAUCUUCGGCAAUGGACGAAAGUCUGACCGAGCAACGCCGCGUGAGUGAAGAAGGUUUUCGGAUCGUAAAAACUCUGUUGGUAGAGAAGAACGUUGGUGAGAGUGGAAAGCUCAUCAAGUGACGGUAACUACCCAGAAAGGGACGGCUAACUACGUGCCAGCAGCCGCGGUAAUACGUAGGUCCCCGAGCGUUGUCCGGAUUUAUUGGGCGUAAAGCGAGCGCAGGUGGUUUAUUAAGUCUGGUGUAAAAGGCAGUGGCUCAACCAUUGUAUGCAUUGGAAACUGGUAGACUUGAGUGCAGGAGAGGAGAGUGGAAUUCCAUGUGUAGCGGUGAAAUGCGUAGAUAUAUGGAGGAACACCGGUGGCGAAAGCGGCUCUCUGGCCUGUAACUGACACUGAGGCUCGAAAGCGUGGGGAGCAAACAGGAUUAGAUACCCUGGUAGUUCACGCCGUAAACGAUGAGUGCUAGAUGUAGGGAGCUAUAAGUUCUCUGUAUCGCAGCUAACGCAAUAAGCACUCCGCCUGGGGGAGUACGACCGCAAGGUUGAAAC